UCCGAAUUGGUGUAGUGGCUAACAUUUGACGCUCUCAAUGGACCUUCGGAUCGCUUUGAAAAGUGCCGUCAAGCCCGGGGUUCGAUUCCCCGAUUCGGAG